CCGUGCCGCGACCGGCGCACGGUGAGUAACACGUAUGCAACCUGCCCGUGGCAGGGGGAUAAGCGGGGGAAACCCCGUCUAAUACCGCGUAACGCGGCCUAGGGACAUCCCAAGGCCGCCAAAGGGAGCAAUCCCGGCCACGGAUGGGCAUGCGGCGCAUUAGCUAGUCGGCGGGGUAACGGCCCACCGAGGCGACGAUGCGUAGGGGUUCUGAGAGGAAGGCCCCCCACACUGGUACUGAGACACGGACCAGACUCCUACGGGAGGCAGCAG
rnacentral:rRNA from 1 species